rnacentral:tRNA from 1 species
GGAGAGAUGGCUCAGUGGUUAAGAGCACUGGCUGCUCUUCCAGAGGACCUGGGUUCAAUUCCCAGCACCN